rnacentral:rRNA from 1 species
CAGCAGCCGCGGUAAUACGUAGGGUGCGAGCGUUAAUCGGAAUUACUGGGCGUAAAGCGGGCGCAGACGGUUACUUAAGCAGGAUGUGAAAUCCCCGGGCUCAACCUGGGAACUGCGUUCUGAACUGGGUGACUAGAGUGUGUCAGAGGGAGGUAGAAUUCCACGUGUAGCAGUGAAAUGCGUAGAGAUGUGGAGGAAUACCGAUGGCGAAGGCAGCCUCCUGGGAUAACACUGACGUUCAUGCCCGAAAGCGUGGGUAGCAAACAGGAUUAGAGACCCCUGUAGUCCCUGUCUCUUAUAC